CUAUUCUUGUAAUUUGUCUAAAGUAGUGUGUAUUAAACUUAAAAUUUUGACGGUAUUUAAUCUUUUAGAGGAAUAUGUAAUUUAAUCGUAAUUACACGUUAAUUUUACUUAUUUUGUUUUUGUAUACCACCGUUAAUAGAUUUUAUUAUAUAUUUUAAUAAAUUUCUAAAUAAAUUAAUUUUAUUAUAUCAGGUCAAGGUGCAAAAUAAAUAAGUUAUUAUGUAUUACAUUCAAAUACAUUGUAGUGGAUAAUUAUUGAAACAUCUAUUUGAAAUUGAAUCUACAAGUAAAAUUUUAAUAAAGUAUUAUUUGAAAUAAUAUUAAAUAUGU
rnacentral:rRNA from 1 species